UACAGAGGAGCCAAGCGUUGUCCGGAUUGACUGGGCGUAAAGCGCACGCAGGCGGGUGCGCGCGUGGGGUGUGAAAUCUGGCCGCUUAACGGCCAGGCGCCAUCCCAUACGGCGCGCCUGGAGCCUUGCAGAGGUCGGUGGAAUUGCCGGUGUAGUGGUGAAAUGCGUAGAGAUCGGCAGGAACACCCAGGGGGAAACCAGCCGCCUGGGCAAGCGCUGACGCUGAGGUGCGAGAGCGUGGGGAGCGAACCGG
rnacentral:rRNA from 1 species